GACGAACGCUGACGGCGUGCUUAACACAUGCAAGUCGAAGGGAGUGGCGAACGGGUGAGUAACACGUGAGUAACCUGCCCUUUUCUUUGGGAUAAGCCUGGGGAACUGGGUCUAAUACUGGAUGGAUUGGGAUGGGCUAGCGGUUUAUCAGCUGUUUGGUGGGGUGAUGGCUUACCAAGGCUUUGACGGGUCGCCGGCAUGAGAGGGUGGUCGGUCAGCAUGUGACUGAGAUACGGCCCAGAAUCCUACGGGAGGCAGCAGUGGGGGAUAUUGCACAAUGGACGAAAGCCUGAUGCAGCCAUGCCGCGUGUAUGAAGAAGGCCUUCGGGUUGUAAAGUACUUUCAGCGGGGAGGCGUUACCCGCAGAAGAAGCACCGGCUAACUCCGUGCCAGCAGCCGCGGUAAUAC
rnacentral:rRNA from 1 species